AUCAGCUGAAGUCUCACAGCCAGCGAAUGGCAGGCCAAGGCACCAGGGCCUAAGUCUGCCUGCCUCUUCCACCCACCUUCUGUCAUCACAAGCCUUCUGAUCUCCAGCCCUCUGAUCUGCCCCAGUGGGACCCUCCUGCGUCUCUGCUCUAGUUGUAGAGGACCCAUCAGGCACUUAGAGAGAAAUGAGUGGUGUUGUGAACAUUCGACUGUGUCCAUGUGGAAUCCACACACACAGUUUGCCUGAAAAUGACUGAUAGGAUGGAAACUGACAAGUCAUCAUCCGCUUCGGGCACCAGCGAUGACUGGUUAACGUGAAUAUUGUGUUGAUUUCCGCUAGAUAGAAGAAGAUGUCACUUGUCGUUAAUGGGGUGUCACACGUACACUUGCCUAAAGGAAAAUGCUCUUUUGGUGAUUGUUCUCAAUUUUCCCCUCAUUUUAUAGCCAUAAAAAAGAAAAGAUUCAGCAGAAAGGAUGAAUCCACCUAGGGGUAGGAUGGAAAGGCAUUCUUCUCAUUUAUUUCCUUCUUUCUUUACCAGAACAACCAAAACCCAGUGAAAAUGCUGGUGCAAGUCAGAAGAGGGGGACCUGGGUUCUAAGAGCAGCCAGGUACUCUGGGCUCCAGAUCAGAGCCUCAGAAUCCAGCAGUUAUGCCCACAAGGUAGCCAAAGUCCAGCAGUACCACCAGUCUCUCGGCCAGCUAUACUUGCCUCUGCUCAACAAUGAUGAUUUGAACAUACAUGUACAAAUAAUAACAGAUAACAUUACUGAGCACUUUACUAUGAACUAUGGAAUGUGCUAGGUAAAGACGUUACCUCCAUGUAAGCCAUAAAAUCAACCUAUGGGGCAGGUGCAGAUCCACAAACCCUGAUUUAAGAAUUCUGAAUCCUCAAAAGCUUUGAAAACCAAAAGAUUUUUUCAUACGUGGUAAUAUGGUCACAUACUUUGGAGGAACUGGAUGCAUUUUUCCUCUGGUCUCCAGAGAAGAAACUGAGACAACAGCAAGUCACAGAUUCAAGCUGUGUUCAUAAUGUGUUUCCACGUGGAGGUCACACUUUCAUGUUCACGGGCAGAUGAAUUCUAACACCAAACACCAGGCUGAAUAGGUGUUCCCAUUGCAAGAGAAGUGCUGUGCACAAUUUUUAUUUGCAUUUCAAAACCCUAACAAAUGGCCACAAUCAACUACUACAAAUUUCUCCUAAUUAGUUUUAGUCUGCACUUCUGUCACCUUUAGGAGAGAGCCAAAGAUUUUAACCUUCAAAAUUAUCAGCAAUGCAUGUCAGAAAGCGUUUCAAAGAAGAGUCAAAGUGCGUGUAGAAACUAAUUGCUGUAUCUGAAAGUGCUGUUUGAAGAAUUUUUCAGUCUUCAGAGAAGCAAGUCCCCACCCCUUGGGAAAACUAGUCUUCAAACUAAAAGUUUCCCCAAAUCAUAUAUCUGAGAAAAAUGUUAAAACAGACUUACCCACAAAGGCAAAGAAAUAAAACUGUAAGAAUAAAUAAAUCAGAAAUCAGAUGUCUCUCCCCUGUUUAAAAUCCUCCAACAGCUUCGUACUUUACUUGGAAUAAAACGCAAUUCCUUUACCAUC